CCUACGGGAGGCUGCAGUGGGGAAUAUUGCACAAUGGGGGAAACCCUGAUGCAGCAACGCCGCGUGAGCGAUGAAGGCCUUCGGGUCGUAAAGCUCUGUCCUAAGGGAAGAAUACUGACGGUACCUUAGGAGGAAGCCCCGGCUAACUACGUGCCAGCAGCCGCGGUAAUACGUAGGGGGCUAGCGUUAUCCGGAAUUACUGGGCGUAAAGGGUGCGUAGGCGGCCCUUCAAGUCAGAGGUGAAAGGCUACGGCUCAACCGUAGUAAGCCUUUGAAACUGUAGGGCUUGAGUGCAGGAGAGGUGAGUUGGAUUCGCAGCGUAGCUGUGUAUUGCGUAGAUAUUGGGAGGAGCACCAGGUGCGAAGGCGGCUCUCUGGACUGUAACUUACGCUGUGGCACGAAAGCGUGGGGGGCGAACAGGGUUAGAUACGCCGGUAGUC
rnacentral:rRNA from 1 species